CGAGAGGCGGGGUUCACCCUGGACUGGUUGCCAGUCAAUCGCAGGGCCGUCACACAAACACAGAUUCAGAGGAUCUGGAGAAAUCUCUGCAUUGUAAGGGACAAGGCCAAAAACCAACACUGAAUGCCCAGGACCUUCAAUCCCUCAGGCAGCAGUUCAUUAAAAACUGACAUGAUUUGUAUAAGGGAUUUUACUACAUGAGCUGUGGAACACACAGGAAACACACUGUCAGUAAGCACAGUUUGUUGUUGCAUCUACAAAAACUAUUCUUACAAAGCAAAAGUCACAUAACAACAACAUCCAAGAAAAUAAAAAGUAAAGUUUGAACAUGA